AUGUUGGCCGGGCGACGGUUGUCCCGGUUUAAGCGUGUAGGCUGGUUUUCCAGGCAAAUCCGGAAAACUAAGGCUGAGGCGUGAUGACGAGGCACUACGGUGCUGAAGCAACAAAUGCCCUGCUUCCAGGAAAAGCCUCUAAGCAUCAGGUAACAUCAAAUCGUACCCCAAACCGACACAGGUGGUCAGGUAGAGAAUACCAAGGCGCUUGAGAGAACUCGGGUGAAGGAACUAGGCAAAAUGGUGCCGUAACUUCGGGAGAAGGCACGCUGAUAUGUAGGUGAAGUCCCUCGCGGAUGGAGCUGAAAUCAGUCGAAGAUACCAGCUGGCUGCAACUGUUUAUUAAAAACACAGCACUGUGCAAACACGAAAGUGGACGUAUACGGUGUGACGCCUGCCCGGUGCCGGAAGGUUAAUUGAUGGGGUCAGCGCAAGCGAAGCUCUUGAUCGAAGCCCCGGUAAACGGCGGCCGUAACUAUAACGGUCCUAAGGUAGCGAAAUUCCUUGUCGGGUAAGUUCCGACCUGCACGAAUGGCGUAAUGAUGGCCAGGCUGUCUCCACCCGAGACUCAGUGAAAUUGAACUCGCUGUGAAGAUGCAGUGUACCCGCGGCAAGACGGAAAGACCCCGUGAACCUUUACUAUAGCUUGACACUGAACAUUGAGCCUUGAUGUGUAGGAUAGGUGGGAGGCUUUGAAGUGUGGACGCCAGUCUGCAUGGAGCCGACCUUGAAAUACCACCCUUUAAUGUUUGAUGUUCUAACGUUGACCCGUAAUCCGGGUUGCGGACAGUGUCUGGUGGGUAGUUUGACUGGGGCGGUCUCCUCCUAAAGAGUAACGGAGGAGCACGAAGGUUGGCUAAUCCUGGUCGGACAUCAGGAGGUUAGUGCAAUGGCAUAAGCCAGCUUGACUGCGAGCGUGACGGCGCGAGCAGGUGCGAAAGCAGGUCAUAGUGAUCCGGUGGUUCUGAAUGGAAGGGCCAUCGCUCAACGGAUAAAAGGUACUCCGGGGAUAACAGGCUGAUACCGCCCAAGAGUUCAUAUCGACGGCGGUGUUUGGCACCUCGAUGUCGGCUCAUCACAUCCUGGGGCUGAAGUAGGUCCCAAGGGUAUGGCUGUUCGCCAUUUAAAGUGGUACGCGAGCUGGGUUUAGAACGUCGUGAGACAGUUCGGUCCCUAUCUGCCGUGGGCGCUGGAGAACUGAGGGGGGCUGCUCCUAGUACGAGAGGACCGGAGUGGACGCAUCACUGGUGUUCGGGUUGUCAUGCCAAUGGCACUGCCCGGUAGCUAAAUGCGGAAGAGAUAAGUGCUGAAAGCAUCUAAGCACGAAACUUGCCCCGAGAUGAGUUCUCCCUGACUCCUUGAGAGUCCUGAAGGAACGUUGAAG
rnacentral:rRNA from 3 species